rnacentral:rRNA from 1 species
AUUGAACGCUGGCGGCAUGCCUUACACAUGCAAGUCGAACGGUAACGGGCCUUCGGGUGCCGACGAGUGGCGAACGGGUGAGUAAUGUAUCGGAACAUACCUUUCAGUGGGGGAUAACGUAGCGAAAGUUACGCUAAUACCGCAUAUUCUGUGCGGAGGAAAGCAGGGGACCUUCGGGCCUUGCGCUGAUUGAGCGGCCGAUAUCAGAUUAGCUAGUUGGUGAGGUAAAGGCUCACCAAGGCGACGAUCUGUAGCGGGUCUGAGAGGAUGAUCCGCCACACUGGAACUGAGACACGGUCCAGACUCCUACGGGAGGCAGCAGUGGGGAAUUUUGGACAAUGGGGGCAACCCUGAUCCAGCCAUGCCGCGUGAGUGAAGAAGGCCUUCGGGUUGUAAAGCUCUUUCGGCCGGGAAGAAAUCGUAUCAGCUAAUACCUGGUGCGGAUGACGGUACCGGCAUAAGAAGCACCGGCUAACUACGUGCCAGCCGCCGCAGUAA